UAAAAAGAAAUCCUGCAACAACUUCAGCAACUAAAUCAGAUUUUCAAUAUGAGGUUGUGCGUUUUUUGCGUGGUACAUCAGACCGCAAUGGCGGAAAAAAAGUUAGACAAAACCAAAAAAACAAACAAGCCAAGAAAAAAGUGAUGCCUACAUCAAGUUUUCCAAUGCCAUUAAAUAAAGAGGCAUUUUUUAGCUCAGAAAAUGAAUAACAUUGUUAAAUAAAAUAAGCAUCUUUAUUUACAAGUUUGUUAUCUUUAUUUUAUUGAAAACUAUUUUAUAUAUUUUUAAAUAUUUUGAUUUUUAAACUCAAUAGAGUAAAGUUUUUGUGCAAUGAGUAUUACUGUUUCUGUGUUUUUCAUAUUCAUUCCCUUUUACAGUAACCUUUUGUAUAUGAGAUUGUAGAUGAAAAUUUAAAUCGUGAUAUUGAAUCUUACCAGAAAAUAAAGAAACCGUUUACCUCAACCAGAGUUAUAUUUCAUAGAAUUAUGUUGACCAUGAUCCAAUUAUUGCCAUGGGUAUUAGAUAGAUGUUUGAUUUGCAAACUGGAUUUAAAUCAUAUUUUCUUUAAACAUAUUUAUUUGCUCUUUAUAUGCUUACAAAUAAUUCAUUAGAAAAAAUUAUAUACUUAUUUACUAAACCGUUUUAUUUCAAUCAAUUAUUUGAUUUUUUAUAUUUUUCAAGGAGUUUUUAUAGUUUAUUAUAUUGGGCUAUGUUUUUUUUUUGUAAGGUGAAAACUAUGUUCAAUUUACAAACUAUAUUUUAGUUUAUCAAAAUAUAUUUUUAUUGAUGUGUUUUGCCUCUGAUUCUUUCUUUUUCAGAUGUGCACUUGUGUCUUAAGCUUAUGCUUUGCAAAAGGUUCACCAUUGCCCUUAAGUUGCUGUGGGUUUUACGGUUUUACUUCCAACCUGGCAUAUAAAUGCACUUAGUAUCUGAAGUUAUUUGUCAAUAACCGGUGAUCAGACUAUUUCAAACAAAUACGUUUUUUAAGGGCUGAGAAGGUGAAAGCUAGAAGUCUGCAGACUGCAACGUGAAUCAAUUUUCAACACAUGGUUUCCUGAAUAUAUUUAGUUUUUGAUUGAAAUGAGAAUAAACUGAACAUAUAGAUAUGUUGAAAAUUAACUAUUUUAUAUUUUAAACAUUCGCUGAAUGUGAAGCAAUAAUCUAUAGAUGCAAAUAUACUUUAUAAUUGGUUUUAGUUUAAAAAAAAAUUAUUGUUACUUUUAUAUUCAUGUUGUAAUUGUAAAUUGCAAUCUUAAAAUGAUUUUUAUUAUAACUUCUGAUUAGUCUUUUUGUUCACCAAG